rnacentral:rRNA from 1 species
UACGUAGGGGGCAAGCGUUGUCCGGAAUCAUUGGGCGUAAAAGCGCGUGUAGGCGGUUCGGUAAGUCGGCUGUGAAAGUCCAGGGCUCAACCCUGGGAUGCCGGUCGAUACUGCCGGACUAGAGUUCGGAAGAGGCGAGUGGAAUUCCCGGUGUAGCGGUGAAAUGCGCAGAUAUCGGGAGGAACACCAAUGGCGAAGGCAGCUCGCUGGGACGUUACUGACGCUGAGACGCGAAAAGCGUGGGGGAGCAAAACAGGG